CUGGCCCAGGGCAGCUCCGGGAACUGCAGCUGCCCCGCGGGCUCCUCGCGAUGGCCAGGUCCUCGGAGCAGGCAGUCUGGGAGGCCGUCUCCGCCCCGGGCAGCCGCGCUGGACACGGGACGUGCAAGGUCUGCAGGAGGAAGAGGAGUGGACACCAAGGGCCCGGGUGGAGGGCAGCUGCCCUGGUGCCAACAGGCGAGGCCCGGAUUCCGCGCAUGAGUCCACCUGGAGGCCGGCCGGGCGGCCAGCGCUGUCUGGCCUGCGGAACAUUCAGGUCAGCUGAACGGUGGUGACAGCAGAGCGAGAAGAAACCGCGUUCGCUGCAGAGACUGAUGAUCCGCCAGCAGGCGGGUGCUCUGCUGCGAGUCCGACGCCUUCUUCCCGCGCCUGCUGCGAGUUUCUGAUUUGGUUCCAGCACCUGCACCCUGGCUGGGUCAUCUUCUCUGUCGGGAGGAAUUCGUGCCCUGCUGCGCACAGUUUGGGUCGGGUGUGAUCUGGGCCGCGCUGGUGAGCCGCAGUUCUAACCGGUGGCCCUGGUCAGCUGUUACGCGCUGCUCCAGGACCCCGGGGUGGCUUUCCCGAGCCACGAGGGCCUCUGCGUGAGCAGGAGCUCAGGCCGGCGGCCGAAGACAAGCCCGCUCCUCGCCGGUUCACGCAGCUGACCGACUCCCAGCAGCCUCAGUCUGGACUCAGCCCCAUGCUGCAGGCUUUUCUCUGACUGGGCCCUGUGGUGCUGUGACCCAAACCGCCCAGCGUCUCCGGGAAGAAAAUCUCUAGAUGCUGCCAGAGGCUGUGGCAAGACCGCAAAUGUGAACCCAGUGGGGCCUUGUCUUGACUUGUAAUCUUAGAUACGCUCUACCUUCUCAACAGCUGUGUGUGUGAGACUGAGUGUGUGUGUGUGUGUGUGUGUGUGUGUGUGCAUGUGACAUUGAGUCUGUGUGUGAUUGAGAGUAUGUGUGAGAUUGAGUGUGUGUGUGACUGUGUGUAGUGUGUGUGACUGUAUGGUUGAGAGUGUCUGUGAGAUUCAGUGUGUGUGAGAUUGAGUGUGAGUGUGUGUGUGUGAUUGAGUGUGUGUAUGUGUGUGUGUUGAUAUUACUUUAAUGCUGCUCACCGUGCAGUGCUGCUUUGGUGGAUGUGGAACAGACCCUGUGGCAUCGCCUCCUACACAGCCACCACUGCCCUCAGACACAGGAUGGACCUUCGCUCCCUCUUUCCUGUCCUUCAGCCCAAGAAAGCAGUCACAUGGUCUGCUCUGCCUGGAAAGAAAGAAAUUAGAGACUGGUCUCUGAUCCCAAGAGAAGAUGGCGCCAGUGCUGGACCAUCGGCACCAGCAGGGAUUCAGGGUCAGAGGACACACUUCAUUACUUUUCAAAGAGUCAUCUGGGUGUCUCCAUUCUCCUACAGUGUUAUUUGAAAGCUUCCUCAGGAUCUGUUGAAAAUCCCCUUCUAUGUUUGGAGCUACUGAGACUCUGGCACCACGCUACCCCAAGCCACUGGGCCUGCAGAACCAAUGGCCCCCCUCUGCCUGUUCAGAACUCUGCAGUUCCAGAUAAGCUGGGCCUCAGGGAUACUGUGAGCCCACCUGCCAGUUGGAAACUCCACAGCUCUCCAAGCACAGCCGGAAUGCGGAGGUGGAUGUAGACACCUCAAACCCACCUCUCCACUUCACUGCACCUGGAAGCCUGGAGGGUCCCAAACAGUCUGGGCUUUGGGCAGAGUGUGCUGAGCACUCACCACAGGCUGCGGGGCCUCUGGAACCUGCGAUGCUCCACUGCCGGCUGAGACAUCCACAGUCUUCCAGACACACGGGGAGGCUGAUGCAGGCGCCCCAGAUCUGCCCAGCCCCUCCUCUGCACACCGAUGGUGAGGUGUGGGAGUCCCAAACAGGGAUAGCGUGCGCCCGCCCACCCGUUGGAAGCCCCACAGUUCUCCAAAUGCAGCUGGGAUGGGGAGGCGGAUGUAGAAGGUGGGCCCUCUCUUACUAUGUUCCAAUAGUGCGAUGGAGAGCUAUUUUCUUUGUUCAGUUCAUCACAUAGCAUUUAUUUUCUACCAAAAUUACCAGGUCCUGUUCUGGGUAUAGAAAGUUAGUACAAGCACUACUUCCAUCAAAGACUUUUAUGUUCUUAAUGCUGAACACAUGACGAAAGCCUAGACUGUUGAAAACGUGCAUUCUCUCCUCUGAUAAGAUGAAAAUACUGCACAGAAAUGUGUUCUGUGAACACAAGAAGUAAGAGCUUUUGUGGCAAAGCCAUAUUCAGCAGUCUUUUAAGAUUAUAAGUCUCACUCUUGAUUUAUCAUAAUUUUUACUGUAUUUUUAAUUUUUAUCACUGUGUAAUGACCACAUUCUAGGGAAUUAGAACACGUCCAUAACGCAUCUCAAGUCCCCCCUUCCCUCCACUCCUCUUUAUUUUGCAGUGUCAGAUUUAUUCAUCAUAUGUCAUUAUAAAGUUAUAUGUUGAUUAAUAACCAGGAUAGGCCAAAAUAAUAUGCAAAGGACAAUUACAUAAAUAAAAGAAUAUUUUAGAUACAUUUUUCAUGUUGGGUUACAGUAACUUUUUUCCUAUUAUCUUUUAUUUGGCACUUUAUAUACAUACUGAGUUUUCCAUAUAAGUGAAACCAGGCAGGAUUCAAGAUUAUGUCUGAUUUACUUUACUUACAGCUUAUUUUUUAACAAUUAUUUCAAUAAUCACCAAAAAUAAAGAUCAGUGGUUAACCUAACCCACUAAUAGAUGUGUUAGUGUUUUCAAAAGUUUUCCUCAAGGCUGGGACUGCUGCUCUGAGGAGGUGCUUGUCUGUGAUACCAGAGAACGUGGGUUUGACCCCUGCACCAAAUCAAUCUGUCAGUCCAUCAGUAACUCCUUCCUAUAAACCAGGAAAAAAACCAGCCACUUAUACCUUUUUGCUAAAUGCUAAUUUUCAUGGGGAAAAGUGUAUGCAGCUAGCUUCUGUGGUUCUUAGUUUAAAUAAUGUAAGUAAAAAUGAACCAACACACAAAAAAGAACCUCUUCAACCAAAAUACAUUGUUGUGAGGUCAAAGACUCUUGAAUUCUUCAUGGGUAUUCGUGACUACCCUACAUCAUUCUAAGUAUAGAAUGGAAGACUUGUAUAUCCUUUCUUCCCCCAGUAGAUGAACCAUCUACAGCAAGUCCACCUUGGGUCUGGGCAGCUCACAGGGCAGGUCUGUGGUUCUUCCAGGAGAGGGAGAGUGGUCUCUGCCCCAGCGCUUUAACAGAGCUGUCUGGGUCCCAGCAGAGCAGACAUCAAUCACAGGGCCUGCCCAGGGCUCCUUCAAGUUAAGGCAGGAUCCAAAGAGAAUCACCACCCUUUAGGGUGACAAUGUCCACCUAAGGGCUUGUUUUGAAGAGCAGACGGAGACAGCACAAAUGGAGGGGUCUGAAUAUAACUGUCCUGUGCAGAGUGAGGUCAGCACAUCUCAUAGGACUAUUUAAUAGGUGCAAAGAGUAAUGCUUGUCUUCUGCAAUGUCUAGAAUUUUUGCAGUUUUUUUUACAUAUUAAUAAAGGCCUAUGGACAUAAUAUCUAUUAAAAUGUUAGCCUCAACAGGAUGCAGACUUGAUUAAAUAUAAUCCUCUCACUGUGUGCUGUUAUGUCUCUUAUAAAUUAAAAGGAAGACUCUUGCUCAUCAAUGUAUGAAAAAGGAACCCAUGCGGCAGAUGUUUACUGAAGAAUCAGAAGACAGGGCAAUCAUUUGCAGUGACCUUCACUGACCAAGGGGCCUUCCUUCAUUAAGAUGCCGAAUGAUUAAAUACAGGCAGCAGUGUGGAAAGCAAAGUUAUUAUUUAUUCUGAACAUCAGUGACGCUUCCAGUAUACAGUGUAGAAACAAAACACAUUUUUUUGAAAUCUUGGAAAUGAAAGCAAAUAGCUGGAAACAGUUAGUAUGCAGAAGAGAAAGCACACAGGUAGCAGUCGUGGCCAGAAAGUUAGCUCCUGGAAUUUAGAAGUGAAGACCUACCACAGAUCAUGACAGGGCUGGAUUAAAAGAUGAGAGACACUGGAAGCUGCACGACACCAA